GCUCAUUCUGGGUCUGUAAUGGAGUCUGUGAGGAGCUCAGCUUCCUGGGGUGGAAGGAGCAAUGCCAAGAGUGCCAGGGGAAGCAGGAGCAGCAGGAGCAGAGCAGUGGGCUCAGGGUGGUGCCAGAAUGCCACGGCUUCUGUUCUAGGUCAGCCUUCAGAAGACAUCGCUGGCUUGGGAGAAGCAGCUCCUUGGUGUCCCAGAUGGCCAGUCCAGGGGGACCUUGGGCCUUUGCAGGGCUGGAGGAGUUUGACUCCAGAGUGUUAG
rnacentral:lncRNA from 1 species